CUUGCUUCUAUUUUCCCCUCCAAUUCCUCUAACUUAUCCUGAGCUCUUGUCAAUUUUCAGAAACUACACCUCUGCCUUCAAGCAUUGCCAUGAAUUUUGGAUUGUCAGCUGAAAACUCAAACAGAAAACCAGCAGUUGCAGCUUUCAAAAGUUAGAGAGACUAGAGCUUUCAUUUCACAAAGAGUCAAUGUAAGCAGUCCAGAGGCAAUAU
rnacentral:lncRNA from 1 species